rnacentral:rRNA from 1 species
GACGGAGGAUGCAAGCCGUUAUCCGGAAUGAUUGGGCGUAAAGCGUCCGCAGGUGGCAGUUCAAGUCUGCUGUCAAAGACCGGGGCUUAACUUCGGAAAGGCAGUGGAAACUGAACAGCUAGAGUAUGGUAGGGGCAGAGGGAAUUCCUGGUGUAGCGGUGAAAUGCGUAGAGAUCAGGAAGAACAUCGGUGGCGAAGGCGCUCUGCUGGACCAUAACUGACACUCGAGGGCGAAAGCUAGGGGAGCGAAUGGG